rnacentral:rRNA from 1 species
UACGGAAGGGGGCUAGCGUUGCUCGGAAUCACUGGGCGUAAAGCGCACGUAGGCGGAUUGCUAAGUCAGGGGUGAAAUCCUGGAGCUCAACUCCAGAACUGCCUUUGAUACUGGCGAUCUUGAGUCCGGGAGAGGUGAGUGGAACUGCGAGUGUAGAGGUGAAAUGCGCAGAUAUCAGGAGGAACACCGGUGGCGAAGGCGGUGGUCUGGGCCGGCACUGACGCUGAGGAGCGAAAGCGUGGGUAGCAAACAGG